AGCGAACGCUGGCGGCAGGCCUAACACAUGCAAGUCGAACGAACCUUUCGGGGUUAGUGGCGGACGGGUGAGUAACACGUGGGAACGUGCCUUUAGGUUCGGAAUAACUCAGGGAAACUUGUGCUAAUACCGAAUGUGCCCUUCGGGGGAAAGAUUUAUCGCCUUAGAGCGGCCCGCGUCUGAUUAGCUAGUUGGUUGAGGUAAUGGCUCACCAAGGCGACGAUCAGUAGCUGGUCUGAGAGGAUGAUCAGCCACAUUGGGACUGAGACACGGCCCAAACUCCUACGGGAGGCAGCAGUGGGGAAUCUUGCGCAAUGGGCGAAAGCCUGACGCAGCCAUGCCGCGUGAAUGAUGAAGGUCUUAGGAUUGUAAAAUUCUUUCACCGGGGACGAUAAUGACGGUACCCGGAGAAGAAGCCCCGGCUAACUUCGUG
rnacentral:rRNA from 1 species